GACGAACGCUGGCGGCGUGCUUAACACAUGCAAGUCGAACGGAAAGGCCCUGCUUUUGUGGGGUGCUCGAGUGGCGAACGGGUGAGUAACACGUGAGUAACCUGCCCUUGACUUUGGGAUAACUUCAGGAAACUGGGGCUAAUACCGGAUAGGAGCUCCUGCUGCAUGGUGGGGGUUGGAAAGUUUCGGCGGUUGGGGAUGGACUCGCGGCUUAUCAGCUUGUUGGUGGGGUAGUGGCUUACCAAGGCUUUGACGGGUAGCCGGCCUGAGAGGGUGACCGGCGACAUUGGGACUGAGAUACGGACCAGACGCGUACGGGAGGCAGCAGUGGGAAAUAUUGCACAAUGGGCGGAAGCCUGAUGCAGCAACGCCGCGUGCGGGAUGACGGCCUUCGGGUUGUAAACCGCUUUCGCCUGUGACGAAGCGUGAGUGACGGUAAUGGGUAAAGAAGCACCGGCUAACUACGUG
rnacentral:rRNA from 1 species